GUUGAUUAUUUGUUUGGUACCUAUUCCCCCAAGAGGGAUGCCAGUGUCCUGAUGCUGACCAGUAGCACCGGUUCCGCCACUUGCUUCCCGCUGGAGUCUUAGCACCAACUGGAUGAGGGGACUCCUCUCCGUUUUGAAUUCCUGGCUCUCCAUGGCUUUGAAGUAAUAAUGAUGUGGGGUCCUCAAAUGCUGCCAGAACUUGAAGUGGGCUCCAUCAACUGUCCAGGGCAAGGUCGGUCUGUCCGGAUGGCACUACUUGAGACACUUGCCAUUUACUGCCAAAGCUACCAUCAGAGCACCUCUCCCUACCCUGCAGGACAUCUAUACCCGAAGAGUGCAACAAGGGCCCAGAAUAUUUCAAGAGACAUUUCACACCCUGACCAUGGACUGUUUAAACCACUGAGGCCAAGCAUACAUCUCUGUUUCCACAUGGCUAAAACAGACUGAGGAGGAGUUUCUUUCCUCAAGCCAUCCGCAUCCCGAACACACAUAACUCUUUAAACUACAUUACAUAGACUUGCCAUACUGCACUUACAGUACACACACUGCACUUUGUACACCCUGGAUCAUUCUGUGUUAAAUCAGUAUCUCAGGUUUUGCUAAAAUAAUGUCUAUAUACAGUAGAAUGGUUCCCAAAACCAAGGCCUGUGAAAUAUUUCUGUUCAAAUCCUAUAUCUUCAUAUUAUUACGGCAGGCUCGUUUUCUGCAAGGUCCUAGAUUUGGGAUAAGUGCAUAAAUCAGUAACAUUAAGGGUAUGAAUGUCUUUUUGUACAUAUUUACAUAUUAUGUGUUAUUAAUGCCAAUAUUUUCAAUAUGUAAUGUGCUUGAAGAUGUUAAAGGUUAAGCAAGGGAAGGGUGUGUUUUUUGGUAAUUUUCAUAGGAUUAAAAUGGUAUGUAGAAUAGCUAGUAGGUACUUAUGUGAACAGCUAUGUGAACGUAGCUCAGAGUAUGGGCAUUUAGUGUACAAAGUGCCAAUGUUGUACCGUAGAUACAGUCAAAAUCAUUGUUUUACCUCAGAGUCAAGAAUGAAAACACAUGGAUAUACAAUGGAACCAAGUAAGUGUAUUUAUCAACGAAUGAAACAUGGUAUAUCAUUGGCACUUUAUACAUGAAAUUAUCAUGCCCAAAGAUGGCCUCCACAAUAAGGAAUUUCUGAGAGUAAAACGGAUACAAAAUCAAUUGUGCAAAAAUUUAGGCCUACUGUAGGAAAUGAUCAAAUUGAGUACAAAUAUUUGAUUUAAAGGUAGACAAACCUUGAGCAAAAUCUGAAGCACAGCAACUAUUUUCCUGGAUUUUGUCUGAUUUGACAGAGAAUGACCCCCCCUUCCUUAUUGUUUAGUUAUUUCUAAAUACUUUCUUUAUCCUAUACACCUCUGCACAGGAAAGUUGUGCCGCUAUAAUGCCAGUUCUCUACAUAUUUUACAACAAUGUCUCUGUAUGUUACAAUUUCUUGAA